UCCCCAGUGGUGUAUCGGUUAACAUCCCGGAUUCUCAAUCCGGUGCGCCGAGUUCGACUCUCGGCUGGGGAG